rnacentral:tRNA from 2 species
GCCUCCGUAGCUCAGUGGAUAGAGCAACCGCCUUCUAAGCGGUCGGUCGCAGGUUCGAUCCCUGCCGGGGGCGC